rnacentral:rRNA from 1 species
UACAGAGGGUGCGAGCGUUAAUCGGAAUUACUGGGCGUAAAGCGCGCGUAGGCGGCUUUGCAAGUCGGGUGUGAAAUCCCCAGGCUUAACCUGGGAACUGCAUUCGAGACUGCAUUGCUAGAGUAUGGGAGAGGGAAGUGGAAUUUCAGGUGUAGCGGUGAAAUUCGUAGAUAUCAAGCGGAACACCAGUGGCGAAGGCGGCUGACUGGUCCGGUUCUGACGCUGAGGCGCGAAAGCGUGGGGAGCAAACAGG